UGGACAUGGUGAAACUACUGCAAUCCUGAAAUCCAAACAGCUCCCCCGUAAGAGCGUGGCGGAACCCACACGUCAGUAGGGGGCGCUAGCGGGACGUUACGAUAGUCGUGCCACGAGUACCAUCAUCUGAUAGAAGCACUCCCAUCUGUACAAUUAAAAGCUUUCGCCUUCAUUUCCCUUUCUUACAAUGAGAAAACCGUAUCCAAUUCACCUUUCCUCCUUAUUUAAUCCUUCUCAUGUAUUUCCUUCGCCCACAGAAUUUUUCUGGACCAGAUCCGCCUUCUCCUCCGCUGUAGUCCACCACUAGUCUUGGCACCCGGAAUAUCUAUUUCGGCGCCGUUCCAACGUCUGUUCCGUUGGGAAUCGAAUCAGGUGCGUUGACCUUGGGUUAAAAUCUGAAGUUUGUGUAGCACAUCUUACAUCUGUCGAUCACUGAUUUAAUAUAGAUCGUUCAGAAAACGUAUUUCAUCUACUUCUUCUUCUCCGACGAGUCCGAUCGGAUUACUCUCCUGCUCCCGAUUCCCACUUCCCGAGUUCGGUAAUUGGGCUCGAAAUUGGCCGAUAUUUGGUGGGCUAUAGUAUUGGGCCAUGGUUGUGUAAAUAAAUACUGAAUACAGGUUUGGUUUUUGCAGGUGUAGCAAGAAGCCGAAUAGAAGAAAGAAGGAAGGAAGGGAUGGGGUUUGUGUUCGUGAUAUCGGUGCCGAUGAUACUGUUUAUAUUGAUAGUGGGGCUGGCGUGCUACCUUCUUGGAAGGAAUCGAGGAAGAAGUCAAGCUUCUUCUACUGUUCCUCAGGUUUAUGGGGCUCCAGCCCCGCCUCCAGAAGCUAAGCCUUGAUUCGAUCUCUGUCUGCCUACUCAACGCGAUCCCACCAAAGAUUUAUAGAAUUAUAUAUUACCGUCUGCUGUGAACCCGCCGAAAUGUCGAAGCAGACGAAGCUUGUGUAUCUUCUGCUAAAUUUUUGAUUUGGUUACUAACAUACUAGUGUAUAUUUGUAUAUCAUAAGCCUAUUUUAUAUUAUAAGCAUAUUCGAACAUUUUUUAAAAUAUAAAAAAUUGUUAAAAUAUUUUAAAAAUGUAUGUUAUUAAAAUUUUUAUUUUAUUUUUUGAAUGGUUGUUGAAUUAUAUUAAUGUUUAAUGUAGCAAAUUGGAUAUACAAAAUCACGUAACCAAUUAGGAAUAGCAAUACCCGAAAAAGGCGUUGCUAAGAAAUGCGAGCGACGAGCUAACUUGUGGGCUGCUCGAU
rnacentral:lncRNA from 1 species